UGAGUUAUUCCCCUUUUCUCUCCAGGAUCCACAUUGACUUACAGAGGAGACGGUGUUACCAAGGAAACAGCACCACCACAGCCAGUCAAAGAAACUUCUUCUUUUUGGAGGACAAAGCCUUUAAUUAGUUACUUCCUGACAGAGUUCCCUGACGCCAAAAGUAGGAAGUUAUUUGCCUCAGCUCAGCUGGACAUUUGGGCUGUAGAAGCAUUAUGUCAUCUUGUAGCAGCAUCAUAUACAGAGGAUAAAUUCGGGGUGGUUCAAAAGUCACUACCCCAGAUUCUUACUGCAGUAAUAAAUCUUCAAGAGAAUGUGGAGAAGCAUAUGAAGCUAGCCUCCUCCGGACGACGGAUUAGUGGGCGGGGCCCCCUGGACUUACCCCUGAAGUAUGUCCUACACAGCUCCCUCAAGUCCUGUAUCUACAGAAUCAUUAAUGUGUUCGGUGCUCAUUUACUAAAUUUAGAUUUACCCAGUGAUACUUCAUACAAACUGAAGCUGUUUAUGGAUUUCAAGGAGUGACUUUGUGAUCAGAACUUGUUUAGUGAACAGGACCUGUUUGCUAGGUCUAUACAUAGACAGAUGUGUAUGGAUUUCUACAAUGGUGCUGAGAUGAAGCGUGUUUAUGUCGCUGACUCAUCACGAACACCAUGAACAAGUCUUCUGGACUAUAAACACACCUAGACAAUAAUUGUUAAUGUUAACUUGUAACAAUGAUAUGACAAAAUCUGUACAUGUGGAUUGCUUGAAAGAUCAUGGGGAAAUCUUACAUAAACAUGAUUUCAAAAUUGUGUUGUUCUUUAUCAAAAAAGAAUGUACUUGGGAUGUAUAAAUUCCGAUACUUGUAAACUCAAUUAUAUUAUCAUUUAUAUGCAUUCCAUAA